UCGACGUUGAAGUUGGGAUGAUGAAGAUGAAGACAGUGGCGUGAGAGAGAUAUGAUGAGGUACGUGGUAUCGGAGUGCUCUGGUUCCGUGAUGACACAAACUCCUUCUUCUUACCUUCUCUGAGUCGCCCUUGAAGAGACAUGCGGAUCUUCCCUCUCCGGUUGAUCUGUUGCUUGCCAGUAUAUCUGUCUGACUGGAACUGUC
rnacentral:snoRNA from 1 species